UCUCAUGGUGCCGGGUGCUUAUACCUAAAGG
rnacentral:piRNA from 1 species